CAGACAGACAGACACAGCUGAAGUAGUUUAAUAUAGGAGGGCCUUCCCUAGGAGUACAGCAGGGGGCAGCAGAGAGGAGGUUAAAACAGACAGACAGACACAGCUGAAGUAGUUUAAUAUAGGAGGGCCUUCCCUAGGAGUACAGCAGGGGGCAGCAGAGAGGUGGUUAAAACAGACAGACAGACACAGCUGAAGUAGUUUAAUAUAGGAGGGCCUUCCCUAGGAGUACAGCAGGGGGCAGCAGAGAGGAGGUUAAAACAGACAGACAGACAGACAGACAGACAGACAGACAGACAGACAGACAGACAGACA